GUGGAUUAGAUACCCUGGUAGUCCACGCCCUAAACGGUGCACACUAGGUCUUGGCGGAUUCGACCCCCCCAGGGCCCAAGCUAACGCGUUAAGUGUGCCGCCUGAGGACUACGGCCGCAAGGCUAAAACUCAAAGGAAUUGACGGGGGCCCGCACAAGCGGUGGAGUAUGUGGCUCAAUUCGAUGCAACGCGAAGAACCUUACCAGGCCUUGACAUGCAGGAGACCGGUGCUGAAAGGCACCUUUCCUUCGGGACUGCUGCACAGGUGCUGCACGGCUGUCGCCUACU
rnacentral:rRNA from 1 species